UCCUGCGCUCCGCCCCUCCCCGCCGCCCGCCACCCGGCGCGCCCUGCACUACCCGGCCCGCCGCCCACCGAGCUUUGUCGCUACCACUUCCGCCGGGAGAGGCGCGCGCGCAGGCGCACUCCGGCUCGCUGCGCGGGGAAGCGGAAGUGCAGUGAGGCCGAGCCUGCGGGCCGUAAUGGACGUUGUCCCAGGAUGGAGAAGCUUUGUGGGAGAGGGCGCGGAGCCCGUGGCUCCUCCCGAGCUCUUGGGAUAGGGUCGGCCCGCUUACUACACACCCUCCGGGUGCAAGGGGCGGGAGCACGCCCAUCCCCCCUCUCCGCUCACACAUCCCCUCGAGGCGGCCGUGGGAUCGAGACUUAGGGACAGACACGGUCAUGGCCGUGUCCCACAGUCGCCUGGGCAAUCUAGACACAGCCCUGGAAGUCUCUCCCGUCCCGCGGCCGUCACAAUCUGCUCGGACGACGCAGUGAGAAGCUGGUGUUCCUGUCAGCGGCCUUCCUCGCGUCUUACCCUCCCUUGCAAACACCGGCUCUGGCUGUUUCGCUGCUCUUGCGAGGGCCACUCCUGCCCCAAAAUUCUGUCCGGGGCAGGAGUGAGCUCCGCAGCCCGUGUGUCAUGAAAGGGCGAGGUUCAGAGUGACAGCUCGAGUGUAUGCAACCGGAAUAGCAGCUAACCCUACCAUCGAAGAUGAAGAACCGGUAUUACCGUGGCCGCUCUCGUUUUCCAAGCCAGCCUUUCACUUAGCACCUCACACAGGCAAAGACCCUAUCACUAUAAUGGCAGAUUCUGCAACAGAAUUGAAAAAUGAUGUUGAGCUAACAGGAAGGAGUACUUCAGAUUGAACCUAAAGCCUCGUACAUGUAAAGUAAAUAAUUUACCACUGAGCUACACCCCCAAAUUGAGGAAAAUACAAAUGUGCUAGAAAGUACAGACAAAGCAACUCUUUGAGGUAAUUAGACUCAGUCAUCACAACCCACAGUUCCCUUGCUGCUUCGGACUGAUUAACGUUGUGGCCAACAGGCAUCUCUGCAUAUCACGCCGGCCGUACUUCCGGUGAUAAAGACAACAAAUAGAGAGCAGCACCACAUAAGAACUGGAGUUGCAAUGGCAGCUGUGAAACCAGCCUUUGUUUCCUGAUUCUAGGCAGGCCCUUUGGAACAAUGCCUCUUUGACCAGGGUUAUCAGGCUUUCUAGCCAGACAAGGAUCGGUAGAAGGAGAGAUGAUGCAAGUUGAUGAGGCUGCUUGGGAAGCAUAAGUUGAAGGCCAACUCUCUAAGGCAGGCUCUUCUCUGCCUCGCCUUGUGUCAUCAUUGUCCCCAUCAUUUGCUCUGAAUGACAGCAUCCUGCCCCUGUGAAGUACCUGGCCCCACAACUUCUCCAAUAGUGGUGAAGUACCCUUCAUUCAUUCAGCUACAUAAAUGUGUCUCAUUUGUGCCAA